GAUCAGUGAUGACAUUAUCCCGAAUCUGAGUGUGCAUUGUUUUGAAAGUACUCCACGGAUCUGGCUAUUGAGAU